AGAGUUUGAUCAUGGCUCAGAUUGAACGCUGGCGGCAGGCCUAACACAUGCAAGUCGAGCGGAAACGAGUUAUCUGAACCUUCGGGGAACGAUAACGGCGUCGAGCGGCGGACGGGUGAGUAAUGCCUAGGAAAUUGCCUUGAUGUGGGGGAUAACCAUUGGAAACGAUGGCUAAUACCGCAUAAUGCCUACGGGCCAAAGAGGGGGACCUUCGGGCCUCUCGCGUCAAGAUAUGCCUAGGUGGGAUUAGCUAGUUGGUGAGGUAAUGGCUCACCAAGGCGACGAUCCCUAGCUGGUCUGAGAGGAUGAUCAGCCACACUGGAACUGAGACACGGUCCAGACUCCUACGGGAGGCAGCAGUGGGGAAUAUUGCACAAUGGGCGAAAGCCUGAUGCAGCCAUGCCGCGUGUAUGAAGAAGGCCUUCGGGUUGUAAAGUACUUUCAGUUGUGAGGAAGGGGGUGUCGUUAAUAGCGGCAUCUCUUGACGUUAGCAACAGAAGAAGCACCGGCUAACUCCGUGCCAGCAGCCGCGGUAAUACGGAGGGUGCGAGCGUUAAUCGGAAUUACUGGGCGUAAAGCGCAUGCAGGUGGUUCAUUAAGUCAGAUGUGAAAGCCCGGGGCUCAACCUCGGAACUGCAUUUGAAACUGGUGAACUAGAGUACUGUAGAGGGGGGUAGAAUUUCAGGUGUAGCGGUGAAAUGCGUAGAGAUCUGAAGGAAUACCAGUGGCGAA
rnacentral:rRNA from 1 species